rnacentral:rRNA from 1 species
CGAAUGCUGACAUAAGUAACGAUAAAGCGGGUGAAAAGCCCGCUCGCCGGAAGACCAAGGGUUCCUGUCCAACGUUAAUCGGGGCAGGGUGAGUCGACCCCUAAGGCGAGGCCGAAAGGCGUAGUCGAUGGGAAACAGGUUAAUAUUCCUGUACUUGGUGUUACUGCGAAGGGGGGACGGAGAAGGCUAUGUUGGCCGGGCGACGGUUGUCCCGGUUUAAGCGUGUAGGCUGAUUUUCCAGGCAAAUCCGGAAAAUCAAGGCUGAGGCGUGAUGACGAGGCACUACGGUGCUGAAGCAACAAAUGCCCUGCUUCCAGGAAAAGCCUCUAAGCAUCAGGUAACAUCAAAUCGUACCCCAAACCGACACAGGUGGUCAGGUAGAGAAUACCAAGGCGCUUGAGAGAACUCGGGUGAAGGAACUAGGCAAAAUGGUGCCGUAACUUCGGGAGAAGGCACGCUGAUAUGUAGGUGAAGCGACUUGCUCGUGGAGCUGAAAUCAGUCGAAGAUACCAGCUGGCUGCAACUGUUUAUUAAAAACACAGCACUGUGCAAACACGAAAGUGGACGUAUACGGUGUGACGCCUGCCCGGUGCCGGAAGGUUAAUUGAUGGGGUUAGCGGUAACGCGAAGCUCUUGAUCGAAGCCCCGGUAAACGGCGGCCGUAACUAUAACGGUCCUAAGGUAGCGAAAUUCCUUGUCGGGUAAGUUCCGACCUGCACGAAUGGCGUAAUGAUGGCCAGGCUGUCUCCACCCGAGACUCAGUGAAAUUGAACUCGCUGUGAAGAUGCAGUGUACCCGCGGCAAGACGGAAAGACCCCGUGAACCUUUACUAUAGCUUGACACUGAACAUUGAGCCUUGAUGUGUAGGAUAGGUGGGAGGCUUUGAAGUGUGGACGCCAGUCUGCAUGGAGCCGACCUUGAAAUACCACCCUUUAAUGUUUGAUGUUCUAACGUUGGCCCGUUAUCCGGGUUGCGGACAGUGUCUGGUGGGUAGUUUGACUGGGGCGGUCUCCUCCUAAAGAGUAACGGAGGAGCACGAAGGUUGGCUAAUCCUGGUCGGACAUCAGGAGGUUAGUGCAAUGGCAUAAGCCAGCUUGACUGCGAGCGUGACGGCGCGAGCAGGUGCGAAAGCAGGUCAUAGUGAUCCGGUGGUUCUGAAUGGAAGGGCCAUCGCUCAACGGAUAAAAGGUACUCCGGGGAUAACAGGCUGAUACCGCCCAAGAGUUCAUAUCGACGGCGGUGUUUGGCACCUCGAUGUCGGCUCAUCACAUCCUGGGGCUGAAGUAGGUCCCAAGGGUAUGGCUGUUCGCCAUUUAAAGUGGUACGCGAGCUGGGUUUAGAACGUCGUGAG